GAUAGAGCAUAUAUUUAUAUAUGCUUUUAUAUGAUUUUAUUCCCAUAAUUUUAGUAUUUUGUAAAUAAUCGGGUUAUUACUAAUUGAUUUUAAGUGUUUAAUGGCAGGAAAAUAAAUAUUCCUAAAGUUGGAUUAAAUCAAGCUUAAUUGGGCUGAAUCAGGUGAAAAUUCAGAUUUUACGGGCUACCUGCGCAGCAAAUCUUGUUUGGGCCAUAACUUGAGUUCCGGACGUCAGAAUUAGACGAUUCAACAGCCCACGCGAAGAUAUCUUAAUUGUCUACAAGUUUAAAGUGGUCCAGCUAUCUAAAGACAAAAGGAUCAGCCCAGAAUCAGGCCUGAAAGUCAGCCCACGAAUUUUGUCUCAGAAUCCAACUUGUUUUAGGAAAUCGGAAUUGUUUUUCGAGGAAACCAUUAAAACAUUAUUAUUAUUAGGGUUUUAUUAUUAUUAGAUAUCGAAGAGAG
rnacentral:lncRNA from 1 species